rnacentral:rRNA from 1 species
GAUGAACGCUGGCGGCGUGCCUAAUACAUGCAAGUCGAGCGAAGCGGGGACGGGUGAGUAACACGUGGAUAACCUCCUAUAUGACUGGGAUAACUUCGUGAAACCGGAGCUAAACCGGAAACUUAUAGAUGGAUCCGCGCUACAUUAGCUAGUUGGUAAGGUAACGGCUUACCAAGGCAACGAUGCAUAGCCGACCUGAGAGGGGGAUCGGCCACACGGGAACUGAUACACGGUCCAGACUCCUAGGGGAGGCAGCAGUAGGGAAUCUACCACAAUGGGCGAAAGCCGGACGGGGAAACGCCGCGUGAGUGAUGAAGGUCUUCGGAUCGUAAGACUCUGUUAUUAGGGAAGCGGUACCUAAUCAGAAAGCCACGGCUAACUACGUGCCAGCAGCCGCGGUAAUUC